rnacentral:rRNA from 1 species
UCGAGGAUCUUCGUCAAUGGGCGCAAGCCUGAACGAGCGACACCGCGUGCGCGAUGAAGGCCUUCGGGUUGUAAAGCGCGAAAGUGGAGAGAAAGGGAAACUUGAUCAAUCCACAGUAAGGACGGGCUAAGUUCGUGCCAGCAGCCGCGGUAAGACGAACUGUCCUAACGUUGUUCGGAAUCACUGGGCUUAAAGGGCGCGUAGGCGGUCCGACAAGUCGGGGGUGAAAUCCUGCAGCUUAACUGCAGAAGUGCCUUCGAUACUGUCGGUCUUGAGGGAGAUAGGGGUGUGCGGAACUUCCAGUGGAGCGGUGAAAUGCGUUGAUAUUGGAAGGAACGCCGGAGGCGAAAGCGGCGCACUGGAUCUCUACUGACGCUGAGGCGCGAAAGCCAGGGGAGCAAACGGGAUUAGAUACCCGUGUAGUCC